rnacentral:rRNA from 1 species
AGGGGGCAAGCGUUGUCCGGAUUUAUUGGGCGUAAAGAGCGUGUAGGCGGCUAGGUAGGUCCGUUGUGAAAACUCGAGGCUCAACCUCGAGACGCCGGUGGAAACCAUCUAGCUAGAGUCCGGAAGAGGAGAGUGGAAUUCCUGGUGUAGCGGUGAAAUGCGCAGAUAUCAGGAGGAAUACCGAUGGCGAAGGCAGGUCUCUGGGCUGACACUGACGCUCAUGCACGAAAGCGUGGGGAGCAAACAGG